GCCUGGAGAUGUGGGACCAAAAGAGGUCUUGAGAUCAGCUGUGCCGGUUAUUGUGAAAAUCCCAGGCGCUGGGGACAGAUAAGAACCUAUCAUGAUGGCCUGCCGCACCUGCAAUAGCUACUCAAGGUGGUGUCACAUUUCAACAGUUGUGAAGACAGUCCAGUGUGAUUGACAGCCGGAGUAAGCCAGCUGAUGUAGCUGUUCUCCUGCUCUCCUGCCUUGUAGAAUUGGAACAGCAUCUGGGAGAGAUUACAGAUGGCUGAUACCUCAUUUAGUAUUCAAUAGCUACUACUGCCAGUAUUCCUGCAGGAUCUUGUGAGUUAAAUGAGAGCUGCAGUGUUCACUUUUGUACUGUUAAUACAAUUCCUUGCUGACUGCUGUAUGCAUUGCUUUAUUUCAUUGUUAACUUCUCUGGGCACCCCCUUCACAGCGUUAGCCAGCCAGUUUGUUUACAUUGUCUUAAAUUGGAGUGUCUCUAGGAGCCCAAACAAAUACUCAAAUACUCCUUUGAAUCACAUGUGCUUCUUUUAAACACCAAGCUAUUUUGUUUCUCAAGUUUACUAGAAGUUAUUUUUAGAUAAAUACAUUUUGAAUUCAUCAAUUUCAGAUAGAAACCAUGGAAACACACACAAAAAAGCAUUGUUUUAGUCACCCAACUAUAAACACGUUAUGGAAUAAAUAUUUUAUACAAAA